rnacentral:rRNA from 1 species
UACGAAGGGGGCUAGCGUUGCUCGGAAUCACUGGGCGUAAAGGGCGCGUAGGCGGAUCUUUAAGUCGGGGGUGAAAGCCCAGGGCUCAACCCUGGAAUUGCCUUCGAUACUGGAGAUCUUGAGACCGGAAGAGGUAAGUGGAACUGCGAGUGUAGAGGUGAAAUUCGUAGAUAUUCGCAAGAACACCAGUGGCGAAGGCGGCUUACUGGACACAUAUUGACGCUGAGGUGCGAAAGCGUGGGGGAGCAAACAGG